rnacentral:tRNA from 1 species
GGAUCUGUAGCUCAAUUGGUCAGAGCAACCGGCUCUUAACCGGUAGGUUGCGGGUUCGAUUCCCGCCGGAUCCACCA